GACGAACCGAGCGAACGUUAUUCGGAAUCACUGGGCUUAAAGGGCGCGUAGGCGGGCCAUCAAGUCAGGGGUGAAAGCCCCCAGCUCAACUGGGGAAGUGCCUUUGAUACUGGUGGUCUCGAGGGGGAUAGGGGCAUGCGGAACUUCCGGUGGAGCGGUGAAAUGCGUAGAUAUCGGAAGGAACACCGGUGGCGAAAGCGACGGACUGGAUCUCUUCUGACGCUGAGGCGCGAAAGCCAGGGGAGCAAACGGG
rnacentral:rRNA from 1 species